GUGGCUUCAUUCAUGAAGCCAGUCAUUCAGCUGUGCCAUUCUCCUUCCCAGGUCCCAGCCGCCAAAAUGAGGACAGAGAAACAACUGUUAAUAGAAGCUCUGAUGACAAUAAGCCAAGCAUUACUGCUGUGACAAUUUCUUUAACCCUUUCCUAAGAGGACUUUUUAUUGAUAUCAAGUAGGGACAAGACUGGAUCCAAUGAAUUAUCAGAGGGAGGAAGAGAGUGUCUUUGUAAGGACCCACAUAAGCG